GGUUAAGUGACUAAGCGUACACGGUGGAUGCCUUGGCAGUCAGAGGCGAUGAAAGACGUAGUAACUUGCGAUAAGCCCAGAUUAGGUAGUAACAACCAUUUGAGUCUGGGAUUUCUGAAUGGGGAAACCCACGUGCAUAAGCACGUAUCCUUACCUGAAUACAUAGGGUAAGGAGGCGAACCGGGGGAACUGAAACAUCUAAGUACCCCGAGGAAAAGAAAUCAACCGAGAUUCCGAAAGUAGCGGCGAGCGAAAUUGGACUAGCCCUUAAGCUUUACACGCGUUAGACGAACGGUCUGGAAAGUCCGACGAUACAGGGUGAUAGUCCCGUAGUUGACGACGUGUGUUCAGUGAAAUCGAGUAGGGCGGGACACGUGAUAUCCUGUCUGAAUAUGGGGGGGACCAUCCUCCAAGGCUAAAUACUACUGACUGACCGAUAGUGAACCAGUACCGUGAGGGAAAGGCGAAAAGAACCCCUGUGAGGGGAGUGAAAUAGAACCUGAAACCGUGUACGUACAAGCAGUAGGAGCAGGCUUUGUCCUGUGACUGCGUACCUUUUGUAUAAUGGGUCAGCGACUUAUAUUCAGUGGCAAGGUUAACCAUCUAGGGGAGCCGUAGGGAAACCGAGUCUUAACUGGGCGUUCAGUCUCUGGAUAUAGACCCGAAACCAGGUGAUCUAGCCAUGGGCAGGUUGAAGGUUGAGUAACAUCAACUGGAGGACCGAACCGACUAAUGUUGAAAAAUUAGCGGAUGACUUGUGGCUAGGGGUGAAAGGCCAAUCAAACCUGGAGAUAGCUGGUUCUCCCCGAAAGCUAUUUAGGUAGCGCCUCGGACGAAUACUACUGGGGGUAGAGCACUGUUAAGGCUAGGGGGUCAUCCCGACUUACCAACCCUUUGCAAACUCCGAAUACCAGUAAGUACUAUCCGGGAGACACACGGCGGGUGCUAACGUCCGUCGUGGAGAGGGAAACAACCCAGACCGCCAGCUAAGGUCCCAAAUUACUACUAAGUGGGAAACGAUGUGGGAAGGCUCAGACAGCCAGGAUGUUGGCUUAGAAGCAGCCAUCAUUUAAAGAAAGCGUAAUAGCUCACUGGUCGAGUCGGCCUGCGCGGAAGAUGUAACGGGGCUAAGUAGUAAACCGAAGCUGCGGCAAUAUACUUUUGUAUAUUGGGUAGGGGAGCGUUCUGUAAGCGGUUGAAGGUGUGUGGUAACGCAUGCUGGACGUAUCAGAAGUGCGAAUGCUGACAUGAGUAACGAUAAAGGGGGUGAAAAACCUCCUCGCCGGAAGACCAAGGGUUCCUGUCCAACGUUAAUCGGGGCAGGGUAAGUCGACCCCUAAGGCGAGGCCGAAAGGCGUAGUCGAUGGGAAACGGGUUAAUAUUCCCGUACUUCUUACAAUUGCGAUGGGGGGACGGAGAAGGCUAGGUGGGCCUGGCGACGGUUGUCCAGGUUCAAGUGCGUAGGCUUAAGAGUUAGGUAAAUCCGGCUCUUUUUAAGGCUGAGACACGACGUCGAGCAUCUACGGAUGUGAAGUCAUUGAUGCCAUGCUUCCAGGAAAAGCCUCUAAGCUUCAGAUUGUAAGGAAUCGUACCCCAAACCGACACAGGUGGUCGGGUAGAGAAUACCAAGGCGCUUGAGAGAACUCGGGUGAAGGAACUAGGCAAAAUGGUACCGUAACUUCGGGAGAAGGUACGCUCUUGAUGGUGAAGUCCCUUGCGGAUGGAGCUGACGAGAGUCGCAGAUACCAGGUGGCUGCAACUGUUUAUUAAAAACACAGCACUGUGCAAAAUCGUAAGAUGACGUAUACGGUGUGACGCCUGCCCGGUGCCGGAAGGUUAAUUGAUGGGGUUAGACUUCGGUCGAAGCUCUUGAUCGAAGCCCCGGUAAACGGCGGCCGUAACUAUAACGGUCCUAAGGUAGCGAAAUUCCUUGUCGGGUAAGUUCCGACCUGCACGAAUGGCGUAAUGAUGGCCACGCUGUCUCCACCCGAGACUCAGUGAAAUUGAAAUCGCUGUGAAGAUGCAGUGUACCCGCGGCUAGACGGAAAGACCCCGUGAACCUUUACUACAGCUUGGCACUGAACAUUGACCCUACAUGUGUAGGAUAGGUGGGAGGCUUUGAAGCACGUACGCCAGUAUGUGUGGAGCCGUCCUUGAAAUACCACCCUUGUAGUGUUGAUGUUCUAACGUCGACCCCUAAUCGGGGUUGCGGACAGUGCCUGGUGGGUAGUUUGACUGGGGCGGUCUCCUCCCAAAGAGUAACGGAGGAGCACGAAGGUGGGCUAAUCACGGUUGGACAUCGUGAGGUUAGUGCAAUGGCAUAAGCCCGCUUGACUGCGAGAAUGACAAUUCGAGCAGGUGCGAAAGCAGGUCAUAGUGAUCCGGUGGUUCUGAAUGGAAGGGCCAUCGCUCAACGGAUAAAAGGUACUCCGGGGAUAACAGGCUGAUACCGCCCAAGAGUUCAUAUCGACGGCGGUGUUUGGCACCUCGAUGUCGGCUCAUCACAUCCUGGGGCUGAAGUCGGUCCCAAGGGUAUGGCUGUUCGCCAUUUAAAGUGGUACGCGAGCUGGGUUUAGAACGUCGUGAGACAGUUCGGUCCCUAUCUGCCGUGGGCGUUGGAAGAUUGAAGGGGGCUGCUCCUAGUACGAGAGGACCGGAGUGGACGAACCUCUGGUGUUCGGGUUGUGUCGCCAGACGCAUUGCCCGGUAGCUAAGUUCGGAAUCGAUAACCGCUGAAAGCAUCUAAGCGGGAAGCGAGCCCUGAGAUGAGUCUUCCCUGAUACUUUAAGUAUCCUAAAGGGUUGUCGGAGACUACGACGUUGAUAGGUCAGGUGUGUAAGUGCUGUGAGGCAUUGAGCUAACUGAUACUAAUUGCCCGUGAGGCUUAACCAU
rnacentral:rRNA from 1 species